GAAAAAGUGUGGGAUUUCAAGGGAUUAAGCUAAUAAAGGUGGUGAAUCCUCCGCUAAGGGCAAAGAAAUUGUACCCGAGGAUCGAUAGUUAGAGUACUCUAGAAAUUUGACUCCCAAAUUACUUGUUGCAGUGGGCGGGUUUUGUGGACCAGCCUUUUUG